rnacentral:tRNA from 2 species
GCGGCUUUAGCUCACUUGGGAGAGCGUCAGACUGAAGUUGCUGUUGCAAUAACAUCUGAAGGCACUGUGUUCGAUCCACAGAAGCCGCA